rnacentral:rRNA from 1 species
GGGACAAGCCCUGGAAACGGGGUCUAAUACCGGAUAACACUCUGUCCCGCAUGGGACGGGGUUGAAAGCUCCGGCGGUGAAGGAUGAGCCCGCGGCCUAUCAGCUUGUUGGUGGGGUAAUGGCCUACCAAGGCGACGACGGGUAGCCGGCCUGAGAGGGCGACCGGCCACACUGGGACUGAGACACGGCCCAGACUCCUACGGGAGGCAGCAGUGGGGAAUAUUGCACAAUGGGCGAAAGCCUGAUGCAGCGACGCCGCGUGAGGGAUGACGGCCUUCGGGUUGUAAACCUCUUUCAGCAGGGAGAAGCGAAAGUGACGGUACCUGCGAAGAAGCGCCGGCUAACUACG